AAGCCAGCUUGACUGCGAGCGUGACGGCGCGAGCAGGUGCGAAAGCAGGUCAUAGUGAUCCGGUGGUUCUGAAUGGAAGGGCCAUCGCUCAACGGAUAAAAGGUACUCCGGGGAUAACAGGCUGAUACCGCCCAAGAGUUCAUAUCGACGGCGGUGUUUGGCACCUCGAUGUCGGCUCAUCACAUCCUGGGGCUGAAGUAGGUCCCAAGGGUAUGGCUGUUCGCCAUUUAAAGUGGUACGCGAGCUGGGUUUAGAACGUCGUGAGACAGUUCGGUCCCUAUCUGCCGUGGGCGCUGGAGAACUGAGGGGGGCUGCUCCUAGUACGAGAGGACCGGAGUGGACGCAUCACUGGUGUUCGGGUUGUCAUGCCAAUGGCACUGCCCGGUAGCUAAAUGCGGAAGAGAUAAGUGCUGAAAGCAUCUAAGCACGAAACUUGCCCCGAGAUGAGUUCUCCCUGAGACUUUAGGUCUCCUGAAGGAACGUUGAAGACGACGACGUUGAUAGGCCGGGUGUGUAAGCGCAGCGAUGCGUUGAGCUAACCGGUACUAAUGAACCGUGAGGCUUAACCUUACAACGCCGAAG
rnacentral:rRNA from 1 species